GAAACAUGCAUGAAGGCGGGACUUUUGGUUAGUUCACAUAGUUUCUGGAAUCUAAGAGCAAUUUCUAUAAAUCACCAUUUUCACAAAGCCAGGGAGAGCAACAAAUGGAGAGAGAAGAAGAAUACCAAUCAAACCAAAACAGAUCCGCAACUGUAAAAGAAGAAGGAGCUACAUAAAUUACGGACUGUUUGGCAGCUGAAGAACAGUAUCAACAUGCAGGAUAAAACCCAAAAUAUUUGGAGAAGAACCUCCGUAGACACAAAGAGAAGGCUACACAGACAGUGAGUGUACAAGAAUAUGAACCCAGUCUCCUGCCAUCUCACGGAACAUACUGGCAGGAAGACACUGACAAAGAAGAUGACCAGUGACCACAUUUUGGAUCCUGACUGUAAUCCCCUCUCUCAAUCCGAUGACUUCAAAGCCACAACUGUCAGUUUUUACAUGACCACGGAGAACACUGCAUUUGUGUUGCCCAACUUUCAUUUUCCAUGCUUGUCCAGGGCUGAGACAUGGUUCCAUAAUGAACACCUGUCCUUUACUAGCCUACCCGAUUCUCCUUUUUCUCUGUUGGUUGCCUUUAGAAAAAUACCAUGUAUUGCCUGCAGCUGCCAUUAACUAAUUGAACCCAGGUCAUCGAUAGUUGUCGACUGAGAUAGACUAGGGUGAAUGAAAACUCAUAACAACAGAGGCAGUGCAAAAGUACUCAGUGCUUUUAUUCUCUACAAAAGUGUUUAAAACAUAGUGCAGAUCAGUUCCAUUAAACGAAUAGACAGUUCUGUGAAAAAAGUGCUCUUUGUUGAAGAAUAAAAUGAUUAAUAAAUACAUUUCUAUAAAGUCAAAAAUCCAGGAAUAAAAUGUAAUCAAGAAUCGGGCUCUCUGUCCUUCUCACUCUCUGAGUCAAGCAUGUCCUUCUACCUAGUCUCUCCUACUCAACCCUUUGGGUCUUCCCAGCUGAUGGUGAUGUCUGCAGCUGUGGUCCCUCUCUCUGGCUAUUUCAGCCCGUCACCCCUGGGAUGCUCAGAAACACAUCUACAUUGUCCUGUCCCUAUCUGUGGUCUAGCUUAAUCACUCCCUGCUUCACUGAAAUGCUCAAUUUGUUCCCUUGCUGUGCCACUAACCACUCUGGGUCCUUCCCACUGCCCUGGCUCA